rnacentral:rRNA from 1 species
GAUGAACGCUGGCGGCGUGCUUAACACAUGCAAGUCGAGCGAGUGAGUUCUUCGGAACGAUCUAGCGGCGGACGGGUGCGUAACACGUGGGCAACCUGCCUCAUAGAGGGGAAUAGCCCCCCGAAAGGGGGAUUAAUACCGCAUAAAAUCGUGGAAGGGCAUCCUUCGAUGAUCAAAGGAGCAAUCCGCUAUGAGAUGGGCGCGCGGCGCAUUAGCUAGUAGGUGAGGUAACGGCUCACCAAGGCGACGAUGCGUAGCCGACCUGAGAGGGUGAUCGGCCACAUUGGGACUGAGACACGGCCCAGACUCCUACGGGAGGCAGCAGUGGGGAAUAUUGCACAAUGGGGGAAACCCUGAUGCAGCAGCGCCGCGUGAGUGAUGACGGCCUUCGGGUUGUAAGGCUCUGUCUUUGGGGACGAUAAUGACGGUACCCAAGGAGGAAGUCACGGCUAACUACGUGCCAGCAGCCGCGGUAA